rnacentral:rRNA from 1 species
CAGCAGCCGCGGUAAUACCGGCGGCCCGAGUGGCGGUCACCAUUAUUGGGCUUAAAGCGUCCGUAGCCGGGUUGGGAAGUCCUCCGGGAAAUCUGGCCGCUUAACGGUCAGAAUGCCGGAGGAUACUCCCAGCCUAGGGAGCGGGAGAGGCCGAGGGUAUUCCCGGAGUAGGGGGGAAAUCCUAUAAUCCCGGGAGGACCACCUGUGGCGAAGGCGCUCGGCUGGAACGCGUCCGACGGUGAGGGACGAAGGCCAGGGGAGCAAACCGGAUUAGAUACCCGGGUAGUCCUGGCUGUAAACGAUGCGGACUUUGUGUCGGACAAGCUAUGAGCUUGUCCGGUGCCGGAGGGAAACCGUUAAGUCCGCCGCCUGGGGAGUACGGCCGCAAGGCUGAAACUUAAAGGAAUUGGCGGG